rnacentral:rRNA from 1 species
CACGUAGGCACCAAGCGUUGUCCGGAUUUAUUGGGCGUAAAGAGCUCGUAGGCGGUUUGUCGCGUCUGCUGUGAAAACCGGAGGCUCAACCUCCGGCCUGCAGUGGGUACGGGCAGACUAGAGUGCGGUAGGGGAGAUUGGAAUUCCUGGUGUAGCGGUGGAAUGCGCAGAUAUCAGGAGGAACACCGAUGGCGAAGGCAGAUCUCUGGGCCGUAACUGACGCUGAGGAGCGAAAGCAUGGGGAGCGAACAGG